UACUACAGUGCUGGUCCACUUAUCAGACCGCCUGCCCAUACGACCAAUCCAGGUAUUUUGUUUUUAAAUCAUCGUUGACCUUCAUUAUUGAAAAAGGGUUGGACUUUUUCGAACAAAGAUGAAUUUCGUCAGUCGUAA